rnacentral:rRNA from 1 species
UACAGAGGGUGCAAGCGUUGUUCGGAAUUAUUGGGCGUAAAGGGCGCGUAGGCGGUGCGGUAAGUCUGUAGUGAAAUCUCUGGGCUCAACUCAGAGUCUGCUGCAGAAACUGCCGUGCUUGAGUGUGGGAGAGGUGAGUGGAAUUCCCGGUGUAGCGCUGAAAUGCGUAGAUAUCGGGAGGAACACCAGUGGCGAAGGCGGAGACCUGGGCCAAUACUGACGCUGAGGUGCGAAAGCGUGGGGAGCAAACAGG